UACGUAGGUGACCAGCGUUGUCCGGAUUUACUGGGCGUAAAGAGCGCGCAGGCGGUCGUUCAAGUCGAGUGUGAAAGCCCCCGGCUCAACUGGGGAGGGUCACUCGAUACUGAUCGACUUGAAGGCAGGAGAGGGAAGCGGAAUUCCCGGUGUAGUGGUGAAAUGCGUAGAUAUCGGGAGGAACACCAGUGGCGAAGGGCGGACUUCC
rnacentral:rRNA from 1 species